AAAUGGUUGAAUUUUAGAUUGCAUCAUGGCAUAUCUAUAUGCAUAUUACCUGCAUAUAACUAUGGUAAAAGCUUUGAAGUGUUAAGGUGAACGCGGAACGGGCAGGUAAGUUCAGGUGAGUUUAGGGUGUUAGUUGAAAUGAUUGAGUUAUGGCAUGACUAUAUUUAUAUUUUAGGCAACUCCAACACUGUCAAACAUGUUGCAGUGAUGGGUAACUCUGACACUGUCAUACAAGUUGCAAUGAUAGGCAACUCUGACACUAUUGUACAGGUUGCUUAUUAGUCGUACAGGUUGCAUUAGGCAACUCCGACUCGUGUGUUAGCAUAGAUUGAUCUAUGAGCAUACAUGUUGCAUUAGGCAACGAUGCAUUAGGCAACUCCGACUCGUGUGUUAGUAUAGAUUGAUUUAUGAGUCAUAUAGGUUUCACUAGGCAACUCUGAAUCGUGUGUCAGCAUAGAUUGAUGAAUGCCUGAUUUAUUAUACUUCUUUUGAUAUGUAAUGAUUUGGAAUAUUUCUGGAUUUACGAUUGAUUUGCAAUUGAAUUCAUACUUAUUCAUAGUAUGACUUUAUGGAAACUAUAUGGGUUUUUACAGCGAGGGGUUAUAACGUUUUUAAAAGGUUUUUAUUAAAACUUUAUUUUCUGGCCCACUCACCCUUAUUUUUGGCCCCUCCAUGUUUAAUAGCUGAGCUUUUUCAUCCACGAGGCUUCAUGGCAAAUCUUGGUAUUGGAGAUUUCCUUUGAUGGUAUGAUUCUCAAUCCACUCUAUUGUACUUUACUUAUACUCUGACGUCACGUGUGAAAUGGGUUCAUUCCCGCUCACUAGCGUACUCUUUUAUUUAGGCACUUUUAGAUUUAAAUUUAUUCACAAUUUCCACAUCACUACACUUUAUGGCUUCGUCACCUACCAGGUGUCGGUCAUCACAACUUGAUUCAGAGUCCUAGUGGACAAUCUGGGUCGGGAUAUGUCAUUUUUUUUAAAUUUAAAAUUCCAUUUUUUUUCUUAUAACUUCUUAAGCCAUUAAACAUCAUUAAAUAACAUUAAGUAACAUGAAACAACAUUAAACAAUAUUACACAACAUAAAUAACAUCAUGCUGACGUCAAUUGCCGUUGGAUUUUAUUUUAUUUUUUUGGCCAAAUUUUUUUUAAAAAAUAUUAAAAAAUUCUCAUUUUUUCCUAUAAAUUUAAGUUGUUGUAGUUUUUAAAUUUAAAUAAUAAAUUAUAUUUGGCCCUUGGUUGGAGAUAGUUUUUUGUCGCAAGGCUAUGUUUGGCCCUAUGGCCCUCUGACCCUUGGUUGGAGAUUGUAAGCGAUAUAGCCAUACACUGUUCAUUAAAAUAUUAAUUCUUGGAGGGCCAGAAGGCUAAAACGAGCCCACUAAGGCCAUCUCCAACCGAGGGCUGGCCAGAUGGCUUGUUUUAGCCCUCGGCCCUCCAAGAUAUUAAUAUUUUAAUGAAUAGUAUAUGGUCAUAUUUGCCUUCAUCUCCAACCGAGGGCCAAAUGGCCAUAGAGCUUGUUUUAGUCCUGUCACAAAAAACCGUCUCCAACCGAGGGCCAUAGGGCUAAACAUAAUUUAUUAUUUAAAUUUAAAAACUACAACAACUUAAAUUCAAA
rnacentral:lncRNA from 1 species